AAACCAGCACCUCAAGUGGUCAGGAGGAUUAUUGGGCCUAAAGCAUCCGUAGCCUGUUCUAUAAGUUUCCGGUUAAAUCCAUUAGCUCAACUAAUGGGCUGCCGAAAAUACUGUAGAACUAGGGAGUGGGAGAGGUAGGCGGUAUUCGGUAGGAAGGGGUAAAAUCCUUUGAUCUAUUGAGGACCACCUGUGGCGAAGGCGGUCUACCAGAACACGUUCGACGGUGAGGGAUGAAAGCUGGGGGAGCAAACCGGAUUAGAAACCCCGGUAGUCC
rnacentral:rRNA from 1 species